AUUGAACGCUGGCGGCAGGCCUAACACAUGCAAGUCGAACGAGUGGCGGACGGGUGAGUAAUGUCUGGGAAACUGCCUGAUGGAGGGGGAUAACUACUGGAAACGGUAGCUAAUACCGCAUACCAUCGGAUGUGCCCAGAUGGGAUUAGCUAGUAGGUGGGGUAACGGCUCACCUAGGCGACGAUCCCUAGCUGGUCUGAGAGGAUGACCCGCCACACGGGAACCGAGACACGGUCAGGACUCGUACGGGAGGCAGCAGGGGGGAAUAUUGCACAAUGGGCGCAAUCCUGAUGCAGACAUGCCGCGUGUAUGAAGAAGGCCUUCGGGGUGUAAAGUACUUUCAGCGGGGAGGCGUUACCCGCAGAAGAAGCACCGGCUAACUCCGUGCCAGCAGCCGCGGUAAUUC
rnacentral:rRNA from 1 species